rnacentral:lncRNA from 1 species
AUGAGGAGAACUAAGACAGUGCACUAUGUGCAAGAAUUCAGGCCACAGGAAAUCAUGCCAUCUGGAACUGCUAAAUGGCCAGCAGAAACUUCACAGAUAAGCAAGGCAGCAGAUAGUCUGGGCAUAAAGAAAACAUGCUACCAAAGAGAAUUGCUGGAGGAGACGCUCAACAUCACAAGGACUUGAGGAUGAUGAGACAUUAUCCUCCCUGAUGGUAAGCCUAAAUCAACGUUUUACAUACCCCUUCAUAACAAUACAUUGCCUCAGCAUUUUUCUUAUUUCUGGUUGUCCUAUGUUUUCCUAAGAUCCUAAGUACCACAUAUUGCAUAUUGUUUGCUACCUCCAAUUACUAUGUUAAUUUUACUUCUAAAAGUUUGAAACCAAUAACCCCACAACCAUCAUUAAGAAGCUCCACAAAACAAAAAAUAAAAACCCUGAACCAAUUUCCUGAUAUUGCGUAAUCUCUAUUCUGUAUCAAAAAAUAUAUCAGCUAUUUAACCAACUGUUUUGCCAAAUUUGUACACAAAAAUGUUGGAUAAAACAGUGAACCUAUCUACCCGUAUAAACUGAAUCUGGAACGUAGCUACUAUCUAUCGUCCCUCUACAAUGCAGGAGUAAUAAUAAAACCCAAAUCCUUGGGCUUCUGAAAGGAACAAAUCAAUCAGUUCAAACAUGGCCUACAAAAAUCAGAGCCAUCAUACAUAAUAUUAUAGUUCACAUGAUUUGUGUUGAAGGUCAUUAUUUCAUGUUAUAAUUACUUUAGGUCUUACUUACAUUUUAUUAAGACUAAUUAAUCUAUUUCUUCCAUUUAUCUAUUACUUACACAAAUACCAGUUGAAUAUGCCCUGUAUUUCAAUAUUCUAAACACUGGAAAUUUUACAGUGACUAAGGUAAAGAUCCCACCCUCAUGAAGAUUAGUCUCUAAUUAGGGAUAAGAGAUACACAUUCCCGAGAAACGAAAUAUGUGUAUUUUCUCAAGAAUGAUGCACAUUUUUAAGAAAAUAAGACAGGACAAAGGCAGAGUAAAUCAGGGUUUCUUGUUAGGUAGGGUGAUCUGGAAAGGGAUGUUUGAUGAUUUGACAUUUUAGAAGAAUCCUGAAUAUACUGAGGGAACAUUGCACAUGUCUGAUAGAGAUGGUUUCAGUGAAAUCAGCAAAUGCAAAGGCUGAGUCUGUUACAUUCUUGACGUAUCUGAGAAGAAAGUGAGCCAGUAAGGAGGAGUAAGCAGAGGUCAAGAGGCAAGACAUGUUACUGCAGUUACGCUACAGCCCAAUCACGUAGAACUUUGAAGAAAGUUGUAAAAAGUCUGGAGAUGCAUAUAGUAAUUUCUUUAAAUGUUUCUCUUUCUUCUAAAGACAUAAAUUGGAGGCUAUAUCUGUUUUCAAAUUAGUAUAUGCAGAAUGUUAACUAAUUAGAGUUAAAAGCAUUUCAAAUAAUAGAAUAAAAAAGUGAUAAAACACAUUUGAUAAUGUACUAUAUAUUUAGAACAGAUGAAAUGAAGCUAAUUUAAAAAUAUAAUAUGCACAGUAAGUUAUAAUUUUAUAAUUUUAAAGAGAGACUAACAGUGUAUAAAUGAUUAACAUUUUUAUUAAAAUGACAUAGAACAUUUAAUUUUCCUUUUAAUUCAAUUUCAUUUAAUUCACAUUUACUAGAGCAUUCUUUGUACUCAUCACUGAGU